CAGCAGCCGCGGUAAUACGAAGGGGGCUAGCGUUGCUCGGAAUGACUGGGCGUAAAGGGCGCGUAGGCGGCGAUCAAAGUCAGGCGUGAAAUUCCUGGGCUCAACCUGGGGGCUGCGUUUGAUACUCGAUUGCUAGAGUGGGGAAGAGGGUCGUGGAAUUCCCAGUGUAGAGGUGAAAUUCGUAGAUAUUGGGAAGAACACCGGUGGCGAAGGCGGCAACCUGGUCCAUAACUGACGCUGAGGCGCGAAAGCGUGGGGAGCAAACAGGAUUAGAUACCCCAGUAGUCCCUGUCUCUUAUAC
rnacentral:rRNA from 1 species